rnacentral:lncRNA from 1 species
CCCUCAGCUGUAGUUCCUCGAUGUCCACCUCCAUCCCCUCGAUCCAUCUGAAGAUGUCGUAAACCUCAAGAUGAUUCCACCAAAGGAGUCUAUGCUUGGCUAACUCCAACCUUCGGAUCAUCCGAUACCUCAUAUCUUCACUGACCGGUAUUCUCCACACCUCCCGAAUCAGAUCUCACGAUCUCAAGUAGAAGGUCCAGAACUUCU